rnacentral:pre_miRNA from 1 species
AAUAAGUGCAGUUUUAUACUAUUCACGUUCAACGUUUGAUUGUUCGUCUUAUUUAAAAAUUUUUAUGAUUAGUAUUUUUAUUGCUAUUAGAUGAUAAAACAUGAAUAACACUUUAUGUGUGACUAAUUUUUUUUUAUUUUUUUCAUAAAUUUUUUAAAUAAGACAACGGUCAAACAUUAUUAUUUUGAGUACCAAACGUGCGACUGUG